GGGUCCAUUGCUUACUUGGUAAAGCACAAGGCUCUUAACCUUGUGGACGUGGGUUCA
rnacentral:tRNA from 1 species